rnacentral:rRNA from 1 species
GAUGAACGCUAGCGGCAGGCCUAACACAUGCAAGUCGAGGGGUAACAGGGUAGCAAUACCGCUGACGACCGGCGCACGGGUGAGUAACGCGUAUGCAACCUACCUUUAACUGGGAGAUAGCCCGGGGGAAACUCGGAUUAAUACCCCAUAAUGUUCUGAAUUCGCAUGUUUUCAGAAUUAAAGUUCCGACGGUUAAAGAUGGGCAUGCGUGCCAUUAGUUAGUUGGUGAGGUAAUGGCUCACCAAGACUGCGAUGGCUAGGGGGCCUGAGAGGGUAGUCCCCCACACUGGUACUGAGACACGGACCAGACUCCUACGGGAGGCUG